rnacentral:rRNA from 1 species
UACAGAGGGGGCUAGCGUUGCUCGGAAUCACUGGGCGUAAAGCGCACGUAGGCGGCGUCUUAAGUCAGGGGUGAAAUCCCGGGGCUCAACCUCGGAACUGCCUUUGAUACUGCAAAUCUCGAGUCCGGAAGAGGUGAGUGGAAUUCCUAGUGUAGAGGUGAAAUUCGUAGAUAUUAGGAAGAACACCAGUGGCGAAGGCGGCUCACUGGUCCGGUACUGACGCUGAGGUGCGAAAGCGUGGGGAGCAAACAGGG